rnacentral:misc_RNA from 1 species
GUCAAAAAAUUCCUUUAGAAAGAAACAAAAGGAUGUUUAUUAUGUAAUCAAAAUUGUGUAGAAGAUGAAUGUCGCUUUCUUACUUACUGUUAAUUAUAUAAAGAAGGAAGAAUUUUUUUUUUUCAUUAUAUCUAUCAAUUUAUACUAAAAAACGACAAUUCUUUGAGACCUAAGUGAACUACUUAUAAAGAGCAUGACACCAACUUUGUAUUUGUACAAGGUACUUUUUUUCUGACCACAUAGAUACAUGUAUGUAUAUUGUUAAUAUGACAAACUGUAAAUGUGCCUGACUGUUACAUGUUUAUGUAUGGGUAUGGACUAUUUUUAAGGUAGAAUCUUUCAGGAAUUUCUCUCAGCUACAGGUAAUUGUAAUCUUGUAUGCCCAAAAUUGGAAAUAAAACUAUUGAUAUUUAUAUCCCAUCUGAAAAUUAACAGUUUCCAUCCAUAAUUCAAUUCCAUAAAUAUCCAUUCCAUUCUUUGCUUAAGUUACUGAUAGACUUUUAAGUAAUACUCAUACAGUGUUGAAAAUUAUUCAAAUUAAUAUGCUAGUCAAGACAUGGUAAAUAAGUUCUCAAUAAAUUGAUUAAAAUAAUAU